rnacentral:rRNA from 1 species
CAUGCCGCGUGUGUGAAGAAGGCCUUCGGGUUUGUAAAGCACUUUCAGUCAGGAGGAAAGGUUAAGCUGAGUUAAUACCCUGCUAGCUGUGACGUUACUGACAGAAGAAGCACCGGCUAACUCCGUGCCAGCAGCCGCGGUAAUACGGAGGGUGCGAGCGUUAAUCGGAAUUACUGGGCGUAAAGCGUACGCAGGCGGUUUGUUAAGCGAGAUGUGAAAGCCCCGGGCUCAACCUGGGAACUGCAUUUCGAACUGGCAAACUAGAGUGUGAUAGAGGGUGGUAGAAUUUCAGGUGUAGCGGUGAAAUGCGUAGAGAUCUGAAGGAAUACCGAUGGCGAAGGCAGCCACCUGGGUCAACACUGACGCUCAUGUACGAAAGCGUGGGGAGCAAACGGGAUUAGAUACCCCGGUAGUCCACGCCGUAAACGAUGUCUACUAGAAGCUCGGAGCCUCGGUUCUGUUUUUCAAAGCUAACGCAUUAAGUACGACCGCCUGGGGAGUCACGGCCGCAAGGUUAAAACUCAAAUGAAUUGACGGGGGCCCGCACAAGCGGUGGAGCAUGUGGUUUUAAUUCGAUGCAACGCGAAGAACCUUACCUACACUUGACAUACAGAGAACUUACCAGAGAUGGUUUGGUGCCUUCGGGAAACUCUGAUACAGGUGCUGCAUGG